rnacentral:rRNA from 1 species
CAGUAGCCGCGGUAAAACGGAGGGUGCAAGCGUUAUCCGGAUUUAUUGGGUUUAAAGGGUCCGUAGGCGGACUUAUAAGUCAGUGGUGAAAGCCUGUCGCUUAACGAUAGAACUGCCAUUGAUACUGUAAGUCUUGAGUAUAUUUGAGGUAGCUGGAAUAAGUAGUGUAGCGGUGAAAUGCAUAGAUAUUACUUAGAACACCAAUUGCGAAGGCAGGUUACCAAGAUAUAACUGACGCUGAGGGACGAAAGCGUGGGUAGCGAACAGGAUUAGAUACCCCUGUAGUCCCUGUCUCUUAUAA